AUUGAACGCUGGCGGCAGGCCUAACACAUGCAAGUCGAACGAGUGGCGGACGGGUGAGCAAUGUCUGGGAAACUGCCUGAUGGAGGGGGAUAACUACUGGAAACGGUAGCUAAUACCGCUUACCAUAGGAUGUGCCCAGAUGGGAUGUGCUAGUAGGUGGGGUAAAGGCUCACCUAGGCGACGAUCCCUAGCUGGUCUGAGAGGCUGACCAGUCCCACUGGAACUGAGACACGGUCCAGACUCCGACGGGAGGCAGCAGUGGGGAAUAUUGUACAAUGGGCGCAAGCCUGAUCCAGCCAUGCCGCGUGUAUGAAGAAGGCCUGCGGGUUGGAAAGUACUUUCAGCGAGGAAGCGUUACCCGCAGAAAAAGCACCGGCUAACUCCGUGCCAGCAGCCGCGGUAAUUC
rnacentral:rRNA from 1 species